rnacentral:lncRNA from 1 species
GGGCAGAGGGUAGGCGGCCAGGGCGCGCCACAUGAUCCGCGGCAAUCUCGCAGUGACUAGCCCUCCACCACUCAGCCCGGCUUGAAAACCCCACCUGCUCACUUCUCCACCCAAACCCAAUCCAAAAUCUUUCCCUCCCUCCCAUCCUUUCUUCCCCUCCGCCUCCGCCUCCUCGGCCGCCGGUGACGCGCCAGGCGCUAGCCAGCCAUGUCGUGCUCCCACCUCUCCACCGCGUGGUCCUCCUCCGCGCUUGCCAGCACCUCCACCCGCCGCCGCGCCUCCACCGGCAGCAGCAGCAGCCUGGUGGUGCGGUGCUCCCUCCGGGACCUCCGCAACCGCAUCGACUCUGUCCGUAACACGCAGAAGAUCACGGAGGCGAUGAAGCUGGUGGCCGCCGCCAAGGUCCGUCGCGCGCAGGAGGCCGUGGUCUCCUCCCGCCCCUUCUCGGAGGCU